GGAGUUGUGGCUCAAUGGUAGAGUGCUUGCCUCACAUGUGUGAGGCACUGGGUUCAAUUCUCAGCACCG
rnacentral:tRNA from 1 species